CUACGGGAGGCAGCAGUGAGGAAUAUUGCGCAAUGGGGGAAACCCUGACGCAGCGACGCCGCGUGGAUGAUGAAGGCCUUCGGGUCGUAAAAUCCUGUCAGAAGGAAAGAAGUGUAUGGUAGCUAAUAUCUGCCAUAUUUGACGGUACCUUCAAAGGAAGCACCGGCUAACUCCGUGCCAGCAGCCGCGGUAAUACGGAGGGUGCAAGCGUUGUUCGGAAUUACUGGGCGUAAAGCGCGCGUAGGUGGUUUUAUAAGUCAGAUGUGAAAGUCCACGGCUCAACCAUGGAAGUGCAUUUGAAACUGUAAGACGUGAGUAUUGGAGGGGGUAGUGGAAUUCCCGGUGUAGAGGUGAAAUUCGUAGAUAUCGGGAGGAAUACCGGUGGCGAAGGCGACUACCUGGCCAAAUACUGACGCUGAGGUGCGAAAGCGUGGGGAGCAAACAGGAUUAGAUACCCCUGUAGUC
rnacentral:rRNA from 1 species